GAUGAACGCUAGCGGCAGGCCUAAUACAUGCAAGUCGAACGGUGAUAGUGAUAUCAUAGUGGCGCACGGGUGCGUAACACGUAUGCAACCUACCUUAUACUUAGGGAUAGCCUUUGGAAACGGAGAUUAAUACCUAAUAGUACAUUUGACUGGCAUCGGUUGACUGUUAAAGAUUUAUUGGUAUAAGAUGGGCAUGCGUCCAAUUAGUUAGUUGGUGAGGUAAUGGCUCACCAAGACGAUGAUUGGUAGGGGAACUGAGAGGUUAAUCCCCCACACUGGCACUGAGAUACGGGCCAGACUCCUACGGGAGGCAGCAGUGGGAAUAUUGGGACAAUGGGCGAAAGCCUGAUCCAGCAAUGCCGCGUGAGUGAUGAAGGCC
rnacentral:rRNA from 1 species